GAGCUUCCUUGAUUUCCAAUGCUGAUUCUCCAUAUUGGAGUUUAUCCGCCAAAUCCAUUGCAGUUUCACGUUGAUUAUUGAUGGCAUUGACAUCGACAGAUGUAUAGCUCAGCAAGAGGCUUACAAUCUAAAAAUAAAGAAAAGCAUGUAAGUACAGGACAUGGCCCGGAGGAAAAAAAAUCACAUUCACACUGCUAGACCAAGUGACAAAGAAGCUAUUCUAUUACUAUUUUGCCUUAAUGUUAGGUUUAGAGUUGCAGGUUUGAAGGGUAGAAGAUUCUGCUAAUAAUAGGGAAGUCAGCUUUAGAUACAGUUUUCUGAAUGAUAAGGUGAUUGCCUGUUUGAGUUGGGAUUAGUGGACAUUGAUGAUUAUGGAUAAAUUUUCUUUAUUGUUACAAGCUCAUCAAGUUCUUCAAUUUGUCCAAUCUGCAUAUAUACAUGCGCGUGAGUGUAGAAUCAUUUUCAUGUAACCAUUAGGAAAUAAAAUUAGAAUUAAGUUUAGGUAACAGUUGAAGAAGGAAAUACAGACAUAUGCAGCAGCAAAGAAGCCAUCUCUACAUUUAAGCUAUCCUAUGAUAUGCAAUUGAAAAUGAACAGUUGCUGGCAGCUUCAAACAUGUUCAAAGUUAUAACAAGCAGUAUAAUUUUGUUGUUAUUAAAGAUUCUGUUAGAGUCUAAGUCCAAUUGGAAUUAGGAAGUACAAAUAGCUUAGGAAGUAAAAUUAGUUUAGGAAGUUUAGUAAAAUUUAACUUAUGAAGUUUAAUAAUUAGAUUCCUAAAAUGACUAGGUUUUAGUGACAUAUAUAUGUGUGUAGUUUGUUGGCAAUUAUAU
rnacentral:misc_RNA from 1 species